CGUCCCCCCACCCCCGGGCUUCCCCUCCGCGGCUCGGCACCGGGAACAGCCACCCGGUCCCUCCCCGGGCGCCCCGCUCACCCGCAACCCCCCCGUUGUGUUCCCCCCAUCCCGGGGGGAAGCGGUGCCCGGAGGCGAUAGAGGCUGCGGUCGGUGAGGCUCCCGGCAGCUCCGCAUCGGUGCCGGGGACGGGCAGGGAGCGGCAGGGAAGGGGUGCUGAGGGGUGUCAUGGGGUGCUGAGCGGUGCCGAAGAGGGCGCAGGGGUGUGUUUGGCUGCGCAAGUGCCGAAGAAGAACAGAUGUGAGAUGGGGACAAAAUGGAACCUCCUCCACACCAAGACCUUACUUCUGCUCCCUAAGGUGGAACGAGAGACCGUGAAGAAGAGGGACAAGGAAAGCCAACGGACAACUCAGAAAAACGUGGACAAGAUAAGAAAGUCACAGCAAAGCUGCAAUUUGCUGCAUUAGUGAUAGGAGCUUUAAAUUGACAGAGACCUCAAUGUUUUUCAUUUUGAUCCUGAGGUGAUUUUUUUUCAGCCACCGAUAAAGGAUGUACAUGUCCUGCAACCUGAGUAGGAGACAGGACAAGAUGCUGCUUUUUCCUGGUACAUCAUCUGUCUUACUGAGCACAACCUCUGCCAAGGGUGAAAACAUCUACCGGUAUGAGUCUAUGAAGAGUUGUAGCCAUCUCUUUAGAUUCUUCCAAGUGGAGUAGAAACUGAGUGAAUGAGGAGGAAUUGCUAGGAGGAAAUUGUGUGCUGGCAAUGAUGCUUUUCUUACCCUUUAUUCCCUUAAAUUGACUAUCUGCUGAGAAGACAAGAGGCUUUCGCUGUUUUAAAGGUUCCUGGGACUUUUUUUUUCUCUUUUUCAAACUUGAAUGACUGAGAAGAGUUCUAAAGAGAAGUGUCUUUAUUUCCAGAGUUUCCGAAUACCUCAGUUCUCACUGUCUCUGUUGAACCUCCCUCAUCAGAUUUAUACCUUGGUAAAAUCACAAAGAGGUUUCAAGGAAAUUUUAAGAAUAUCUGUAAAGCCAGGCUUUUACAUCUAGGCUUUUUUUUCCUCCUUAGUGCACAGUGGUGACAUAUCUCAGACUGUACAGAUAUGUUUCCCUUUAGAGCAAAGCAAGCAAAUGCACAUAAAUCCCUGAUCCCUGCUGAAGUGUGUGACUGUCUAUAGUUGAUCCUCCUCCCCUGUUGCAAAUGGCAAUACACGUGCAUGUCAUGGGCACGUCAGCUAUUUUAUAAAGAGGCACAUCUUAUGCAAUUGUUUUCUUUCUGCAGAUAAACGAUUAUUUGCCAUUAAAAUUAGGAAAGAACACAAACCCCUAAUAAACCCUUGUAGAGCCUCCCAUGAGCUCGCUUUGACCUUUUCCAUGUCAUAGCUGACCAAAGUCUGUGCUGGCAACAUGUUUUGAUAAAGUUUUCUUCUCAAUAUUUUUAAGCAUGAGCUCUGAGAAGAUGCUGCUCUGCAUCAUACUCAUACUUUUCUCUGCUGAUUUCUAGUCUAGGCUUCAUGAAACUCCUUUCCUGUAAAUGUACAUGUCUUACCAGUUGAGAAUCGCUGCUCUAGACAAUCUUGUAAUAGCAUCACUGUCUCUGCUUUCAAUUUAAAAUGAUUGCUCAGGCCUCACAAAGAACAAGGCCCACUGUUGCCAGUGAACCCACAUCUGCCUUCAGCUGGGAGGGAGGAGUAGGAGACACUUGAAUCGGGAUGAA